UUGAUCCUGGCUCAGAAUCAACGCUGGCGGCGUGCCUAACACAUGCAAGUCGAACGAGAAAGUGGAGCAAUCCAUGAGUACAGUGGCGACCGGGUGAGUUACACGUGACUAACCUGCCCUCGAGUGGGGAAUAACUCCGGGAAACCGGAUCUAAUACCGCAUAACAUCGCAAGAUCAAAGCCGAAAGGCGCUUGAGGAGUGGGUCGCGGCUGAUUAGCUAGUUGGCGGGGUAAUGGCCCACCAAGGCUUUGAUCGGUAUCCGGCCUGAGAGGGCGCACGGACACACUGGAACUGAAACAUGGUCCAGACUCCUACGGGAGGCAGCAGUGGGGAAUUUUGCGCAAUGGGGUAAACCCUGACGCAGCAACGCCGCGUGGAGGAUGAAGUCCCUUGGGAUGUUAACUCCUUUCGACCGGGAAGAUACUGACGGUACCGGUAGAAGAAGCACCUGCUAACUCUGUGCCAGCAGCCGCGGUAAUU
rnacentral:rRNA from 1 species